rnacentral:rRNA from 1 species
GGUCAAGCGUAAAGGGCGCAUGGCGGAUGCCUUGGCAUCAAGAGCCGAAGAAGGGCGUGGUAAGACUGCGAUAAGCCUCGGUUAGCUGUCUGGCAAGCUUAGCCGGGGAUUCCCGAAUGAGGCAACUCACUCAGGUAAAACCUGGGUACCCCUAGCUGAACACAUAGGCUAGGUGGAGGUAAGCGGGGGAAGUGAAACAUCUCAGUACCCCGAGGAAAAGACAAUAUUCUCCUAGUAGUGGCGAACGAACGGGGACCAGCCUAAACUCUAUAAACCUAACGGUUUCAAGGCCUGAGUUUAUAAGAGGGUUGUAAGGCAGAUCUGGUCCGGCUUGAAACGGGCCGAGGAGUUACAAACCGAACUCUAGUUGAAGGUUUCUGGAAAGAACAACCACAGACGGUGACAGUCCGGUAAACGAAAGGGGGAGGCUCCUGAUCUGUUCUUGAGUACCACGGGACACGAGGAAUCUUGUGGGAAGCUACCCUGACCACAGGGUAAGGCUAAAUACUCUUGAUGACCGAUAGUGAACUAGUACCGUGAGGGAAAGGUGAAAAGCACCCCGGGAGGGGAGUGAAAUAGAUCUGAAACCAUGUGCCUACAAGCAGUCAGAGUUCCGGUUCGCCGGAAUGAUGGCGUGCCUAUUGAAGAAUGAGCCGACGAGUUAAUCUAUGUAGCAGGUUAAGUAAUAGAAGUUACGGAGCCACAGCGAAAGCGAGUCUGAAUAGGGAGUAAGUUGCAUAGAUUAGACCCGAAGCCGGGUGAGCUACCCAUGGUCAGGAUGAAGCUUCGAUAAUCUCGAAGUGGAGGUCCGAACUGUUUAGCAUUGCAAAGCUAUCGGAUGAACUGUGGGUAGGGGUGAAAUGCCAAACGAACUCGGUGAUAGCUGGUUCUCCCCGAAAUGCAUCGAGGUGCAGCCUCAGAUAUUUGCUAAUGGAGGUAGGGCACUGGAUAGACUAAGUGAGAGAGAUCUUGCUGAAUCUAACCAAACCACGAAUGCCAUUAGCUAACAAUCUGGGAGUGAGACUGCGGGGGCUAAGCUCCGUAGUCGAGAGGGAAACAGCCCAGACCAUCAGCUAAGGUCCCUAAUAACAUACUAAGUGGCAAAGGAAGUUGGAUUGCAUAGACAGCCAGGAGGUUGGCUCAGAAGCAGCCACCCUUUAAAGAGUGCGUAAC